UCAAGUUAGAAAGGGCGUAUGGUGGAUGCCCAGGCACUUAGAGCCGAAGAAGGACGCAGCGAGCGGCGAAACGCUCCGGGGAGUCGCAAGCAGACGUAGAUCCGGAGAUUUCCGAAUGGGGAAACCCGCUUAAGGUAAUACUUAAGCAUCCCAUGGUGAACACAUAGCCAUGGGAGGGGAAACCGCGUGAACUGAAACAUCUAAGUAGCGCGAGGAGAAGAAAGAAAACAGGGCCUCCCAGCGGAGAGACUCCGCUGGGAAGGUAGUGUCGAUUUCCUAAGUAGCGGCGAGCGAAAAGGAAAGAGCCCAAACCAUCACCGCAGGUGAUGGGGUUUAGGACCACGAGAAGGUAUAUGGAGUGAAGCCGAACAGACCUGGGAAGGCAGGCCAAAGAAGGUGAAAGCCCUGUAGGCGUAAGCUUUAAAUACCGAGUGGGAUCCAGAGUACCACAGGAUAGGCAACCCGGUGGGAAGACGGGAGGACCAUCUCCCAAGGCUAAAUACUCCUAAGUGACCGAUAGCGCAAAGUACCGUGAGGGAAAGGUGAAAAGAACCCCGGGAGGGGAGUGAAAGAGAACCUGAAACCAUAUGUCCACAAGCAGUGGAAGCGAAAGCGACCACGUACUUUUUGUAGAACGGACCGGCGAGUUAUAGAUAUGCAGCGAGGUUAAGCGAAAGCGGAGCCGAAGCGAAAGCGAGUCUUAAGAGGGCGAAAGUUGCAUAUCAUAGACCCGAAACCGUGCGACCUACCCAUGAUCAGGGUGAAGCCGGAGUAAGAUCUGGUGGAGGCCCGAACCACGUUGACGUUGAAAAGUCAUGGGAUGAAUUGUGGGUAGCGGAGAAAUUCCAAUCGAGCUCGGAGAUAGCUGGUUCUCCCCGAAAUAGCUUUAGGGCUAGCCUCAGGGGUGAAAAUAUGGAGGUAGAGCACUGAAUGGACUAGGGGCCAAAAAGGUUACCGAACCCUAUCAAACUCCGAAUGCCAUAUUGAGAACCCUGGGAGUCAGACUACGAGUGAUAAGAUCCGUGGUCAAAAGGGAAACAGCCCAGACCGACAGCUAAGGUCCCAAAGAGCAUGUUAAGUGGAAAAGGAAGUAGGAUUUCCAAGACAACCAGGAUGUUGGCUUAGAAGCAGCCAUACAUUCAAAGAGUGCGUAAUAGCUCACUGGUCGAGAAAUCCCGCGCCGAAAAUAAACGGGGCUAAAACAUGCCACCGAAGCUACGGAUUCGAAAGAAUGGUAGGGGAGCGUACUGUACAGGGGGAAGGAUAAGCGUAAGCGAAUCUGGACAGUACAGUAGAGAGAAUGCCGGUAUAAGUAACGAGAGUAAGGCGAGAAACCUUACCGUCGAAAGCCUAAGGUUUCCUGGGGAAGGAUAAUCCGCCCAGGGUAAGUCGGGACCUAAGCCGAGGCGAAAGCGUAGGCGAUGGACAACCGGUAAUAAAUCCGGUACCACCGAAAUCCGUCAUAAGAGAAGCAAGGACGCAGCGAGAUAAGAAAAGCGUGCGGUUGGUAGAGCACGUCCAAGCAGCGACGAAAAGAGCUUUGAGUGAAGUACCAAAGCUCAUAAGAGCUGUGAAGGGGAGCCGAAAGGCGAAGUUUCGAAGGGGCUGCCAAGAAAAGUUGCUAUCGAGGAUAGAGGUGCCCGUACCAGAAACCGACACAGGUAGGCGAGGAGAGAAUCCAAAGACGAGCGGGAGAACCCUCAUUAAGGAACUCGGCAAAAAGACUCCGUAACUUCGGGAGAAGGAGUGCCGAAAGGCCGCAGAGAAGAGGCCCAAGCGACUGUUUACCAAAAACACAGGUUUCUGCUAAGUCGAAAGACGAAGUAUAGGAGCUGACGCCUGCCCGGUGCUGGAAGGUUAAGGGGAAGUGUCAGAUGAAAGUCGAAGCACAGAACUUAAGCCCCAGUAAACGGCGGCCGUAACUAUAACGGUCCUAAGGUAGCGAAAUUCCUUGUCGGGUAAGUUCCGACCUGCACGAAAGGCGUAACGACUUGGGCGCUGUCUUGAUGGGGGACCCGGUGAAAUUGUAGUACUCGUGAAGAUGCGAGUUACCCGCGACAGGACAGAAAGACCCCAUGGAGCUUUACUGCAGCUUGUCACUGAAUUUUAGUAAUAUCUGUACAGGAUAGGUGGGAGGCGGAGAAAGAUGGGCGCAAGCCUAUCUGGAGCCGACGUUGGGAUACCACCCUGAUAUUACCGAAAUUCUAACAUAUAAGCCGUAAGCCGGCAUAUGGACACUGACAGGCGGGCAGUUUGACUGGGGCGGUCGCCUCCCAAAGAGUAACGGAGGCGUCCAAAGGUUACCUCAGCGCGGAAGGAAAUCGCGCGUAAGAGUGCAAAGGCAGAAGGUAGCCUAACUGCGAGAAAGACAAUUCGAGCAGGGACGAAAGUCGGGCUUAGUGAUCCGGCGGUAGAGAAUGGGAUUGCCGUCGCUCAACGGAUAAAAGCUACCCUGGGGAUAACAGGCUGAUCUCCCCCAAGAGUCCACAUCGACGGGGAGGUUUGGCACCUCGAUGUCGGCUCAUCGCAUCCUGGGGCUGAAGUAGGUCCCAAGGGUUGGGCUGUUCGCCCAUUAAAGCGGUACGCGAGCUGGGUUCAGAACGUCGUGAGACAGUUCGGUCCCUAUCCGUCGCGGGCGUAGGAAAUUUGAGAGGAACUGCCCUUAGUACGAGAGGACCGGGGUGGACAAACCGAUGGUGUACCAGUUGCGAAGCCAUUCGCACAGCUGGGUAGCCAAGUUUGGAAGGGAUAAACGCUGAAAGCAUCUAAGCGUGAAACCCACCUCAAGAUAAGAUUUCCCAUCCGAAAGGAGUAAGACACCUUGGAGAAGACGAGGUAGAUAGGCCGGAGGUGUAAGAGUAGAAAUACUUUAAGCUGACCGGUACUAAUAAGUCGAGGACUUGACCAA
rnacentral:rRNA from 1 species